ensembl:lncRNA
CCUCUGUCCAUGGGAUUCUCCCGGCAAGAAUACUGGAGUGGGCGCCGUUUCCUUCUCCAGGGGGCUCUUCCUGACCCAGGGAAAGAACCUGCAUCUCCUGACUACAGAGGGCAUCAGGAGACAAAGGAAUACAUCCAGCCUGCAGAGCUGGUGAAUGGCAGAACUGAGGUUUGAACCCAGGACUCUGCUGGCGUGUUCUUCCUACAGCACCUCACUGCCUUAAAUAUCCAAGGCCUCUGACUUGUUGCAAAGAAAGGUGGAUUCGUUACCUCUGAGCCACCAGAGAAGCCCUUCUCCGAGGCGGUCAGACCCCAAAUGCAGGCCGUGUAGGAGCAGCACUCUCACUGGGCUGUCAGGCCCUAGGAUUUGAGUCUCAACUUUGUUCCAUGAUGGCAGAAGAAGCAGAUGGCUUUUUUUUUUUCUUUCCUGAGGCAAACUGUAGUAGGAGGAGGGGGCUGCCAAAAUCAC